AAACCCUGAUUCAGCUUUGUCUUUGUGCACGUAGACUUGGUUUUUUUCUUUGAGAAAUGAAGUUGGAGAUUUCUUACUCGACACUUUAAUUCAUUCAUUUAAUUCUGAAAGCAUAUCUCUGUCACAUGGCUGCUAAAAUCAUUGUGCAUUCUUUAUUUUCUUUUUUACCAUUUUAGAAAAGCGUGUUUUCUCCUCAUUGGGCCAAACCCUCUCUUUAAGCUUUCCCUUCAGCUCACUGCAUUUCCCAUCAUUGAUGAAGGGCAUCGCCUUCAUCCCAGAACAGGAGGAGCCUUGGAUUGGAUCAGCCAUUCCUCUGCCUGUGUGCAUCUGGGAGAUAAGGAAACAGUACCCAAUCUUAAAAGGAAAGAUGUUCUUCUGAGUAGCGUCUGUAUGUUUCCCCGUGCUUCUCAUUUAUUAACUUUCACAUGUGACACAUACGUCUGAAAGCCAGCGCGCUGUAUUAGGGCUCAAUCCCACACCACUUGCAGGGGGAGACCCCCAGUGCACUGUCUAUGAUGAAUGGCCCUGAUGUAAUUCCACUGUCAAACAAGCAAAGCAUUUUUUUAAAGAAAAGAACAAACCCAAGACAGAAGGAAGCCUGACUUUGUGUGGUUUAUGGAGUUUUAUUCCUCCUGUUUUUGUAUGCAGCCUGGCAGUAUGACAGCUGAGAUGUAAUGAUCUGGCCUACACAUUGUACAGCGCAAUGCGGCAGAUAGCUUUAUUUUCCUGUUGUUCCUAAUCACAAUUUAUUGUUUGAGAUGAUUGUCAACCAUUUCAUGUAGAGCUCCAAAGGGAGCAAGAGAUCCUCCAAGUCACAGGAGCAUGAACAAGAGAUCCUCUAAGCCACAUGAGCAUGAAGAAAGAUCCUCCAAGCCACAAGAACAUGAAAAAGAGAUCCUCCAAGCCACGUGACCAUGAACAAGAGAUCCUUCAAGCCAUGUGAAUGUGAACAAGAAAUCCUUUAAGACACAAAAAUGUGAACAAGAGAUUCUCCAAGCCACGUGAACUUGAACAAGAGAUCCUCCAAGCCACAUGAGCAUGAACAAGACAUCUUCCAAGCCACGUGAGCAUAAACAGGAGAUCCUCCAAACCACGUGAACGUGAACAAGAGAUCCUCUAAGCCACAGGAACUUUUGCAUUUGGAGCCGAUUUCAGUUUAGCUUUCUCAAAGUCGUUAGCCCACAGUGCAGUUACUCUUCAGGAAUGUUCCAACACAGCUUCAGUUUCCAAGUCUACUGAUAGCUACUCUCUAAUUAUUCUUACUUUUGGGAUUAACAGACUGUGGACUUUAUUUGUAUUGACUAAUCACACAAAAAUUGCUUGCAGCACAGAAAUUCUACCUGAUAUUUGGUUGUUAAUAAACUAGGCCAAACCUACUGAUACAGGCUGGUUUGUUUAGCAAUAGGGAUCAGC
ensembl:lncRNA